AGUUUGAUCAUGGCUCAGAUUGAACGCUGGCGGCAGGCCUAACACAUGGCAAGUCGAACGGUAACAGGAAGAAGCUUGCUUCUUUGCUGACGAGUGGCGGACGGGUGAGUAAUGUCUGGGAAACUGCCUGAUGGAGGGGGAUAACUACUGGAAACGGUAGCUAAUACCGCAUAACGUCGCAAGACCCAAAAAAGGGGGGACCUUCGGGCCUCUUGCCAUCGGAUGUGCCCAGAUGGGAUUAGCUAGUAGGUGGGGUAACGGCUCACCUAGGCGACGAUCCCUAGCUGGUCUGAGAGGAUGACCAGCCACACUGGAACUGAGACACGGUCCAGACUCCUACGGGAGGCAGCAGUGGGGAAUAUUGCACAAUGGGCGCAAGCCUGAUGCAGCCAUGCCGCGUGUAUGAAGAAGGCCUUCGGGUUGUAAAGUACUUCAGCGGGAGGAAGGGAGUAAAGUUAAUACCUUUGCUCAUUGACGUUACCCGCAGAAGAAGCACCGGCUAACUCCGUG
rnacentral:rRNA from 1 species